rnacentral:lncRNA from 1 species
GCUUAUCCUCCAAGAUAUAAUUAAAAAGAGAUCAGAAGUUGAACAUUGCAGCUCAUUCGAUUUCUCAACUCAGCUAGUGAGUGAAGGCUGCUGUGGUAAAACGCAUAGAUGCACUAACAGGAGUGGAAGGCUAGAUCGUAAGGUAUAAUCUUUCAAUAUAGUAAUUUGAAAGUCUUUUGACGGUUGAAUUCGAGUAGUCUUUCCAGAAAAAAUUUCUUUAUAUUCAGAAUUAUAUUCAUAUGAUCAUCAUGAUUGUAGAUAAAUUGGAGUGACAGAAGGUGGCUGUACAAUACAACGCUCUCUAAAUUUGUAAAUUGAAAAAACAUGCGAAAGACAUUAGUGAUAAAACAGUUAUAUACAUGUGAAGAAAGAACAACCUAUUGCCUUGUCUGUCUAUAGACCUUUUACAUUUUGGAGUUGAUGAGGCUAUACACAACAACAAGCCCCAUGAUCAGAGAAUGAUCAAUAAAGGGCUCCACCACCAUUGUCAUAACAUCUUCUCCUAGCACAACUCCACAUGCUGACUGCUUUCUCUGUACCUGUUUUAAUUUGCACACACAGAUAACACACUAAUUAGCCUUCAUAUUAACGGCCUCCUAAAGCAAAGAAAUCAGGAAGAGGCCUUAGCCAAAUUGAGUGGUUCACCUCUGCGAUGAGCCCUCCACACUUGUCUACUAUCUUGUAUGCUGACUUGCUGGUCCAGCUUUCUAUCUUGUACUGGCAUGGUUGAUUCUUAUCCAACCCAACAGUUAUAUUGCAUGGUGCAUCUCCUCUCAACAGCCUCAAAGUUUUUCUCACUUGAAAGCCAGGCUUGGUCUUGUCAAUUUCUGAACCUUCGCAUCUGUAGCCCUCCCAGAACCCCAACAACUUGAGUUUCUAGUUAGAGAAAAGCAAAGCACAACUUGUUAAAAGGGGAAUUUAGUGCAACUUUCACAAAAAGAUGUUGCUGUGUAUGUUACCUUUCUCAGUAUGGUGUACAGGACUUUGCCUUCGAAAUCCAUGAGAUGAACUUCAUUGCUACUCUUGCUGUCAUAGUUAUCGACCCGAUACACAACAUGGCCAUCUGAAUCAAACACAGUACAGCCUUUGCCACUCAGUACUAGAGACUUCAUCCACACCGUGAAUGAUUCUUGUUUGGAAGAGAGGUAACAAGGGUCU